rnacentral:rRNA from 1 species
GAUGAACGCUGGCGGCGUGCCUAAUACAUGCCAGUCGAGCGAACGGACGAGAAGCUUGCUUUUCUGAUGUUAGCGGCGGACGGGUGAGUAACACGUGGAUAACCUACCUAUAAGACUGAGAUAACUUCGGGAAACCGGAGCUAAUACCGGAUAAUAUUUUGAACCGCAUGGUUCAAAAGUGAAAGACGGUCUUGCUGUCACUUAUAGAUGGAUCCGCGCUGCAUUAGCUAGUUGGUAAGGUAACGGCUUACCAAGGCAACGAUGCAUAGCCGACCUGAGAGGGUGAUCGGCCACACUGGAACUGAGACACGGUCCAGACUCCUACGGGAGGCAGCAGUAGGGAAUCUUCCGCAAUGGGCGAAAGCCUGACGGAGCAACGCCGCGUGAGUGAUGAAGGUCUUCGGAUCGUAAAACUCUGUUAUUAGGGAAGAACAUAUGUGUAAGUAACUGUGCACAUCUUGACGGUACCUAAUCAGAAAGCCACGGCUAACUACGUG